rnacentral:rRNA from 1 species
GACGAACCGUGCGAACGUUAUUCGGAAUCACUGGGCUUAAAGCGCGUGUAGGCGGACGGGGACGUCGGUCGCUGAAAUCCCCCGGCUCAACCGGGGAACGGGCGCCGAAACGCCCCGUCUCGAGGGACGUAGGGGGACCUGGAACUUCCGGUGGAGCGGUGAAAUGCGUUGAGAUCGGAAGGAACGCCCGUGGCGAAAGCGAGGUCCUGGACGUCUACUGACGCUGAGACGCGAAAGCUAGGGGAGCGAACGG